rnacentral:rRNA from 1 species
GCGGCAAGAGCUCAAAUUUGAAAUCUGGCUCCUUCGGGGCCCGAGUUGUAAUUUGUAGAGGAUGCUUCGGGCGUGGCCGCGGUCUAAGUCCCCUGGAACGGGGCGUCGCAGAGGGUGAGAAUCCCGUCUUCGGCCGGCCGGCCCCGCCCGUGUGAAGCUCCUUCGACGAGUCGAGUUGUUUGGGAAUGCAGCUCUAAAUGGGUGGUAAAUUUCAUCUAAAGCUAAAUACUGGUCGGAGACCGAUAGCGCACAAGUAGAGUGAUCGAAAGAUGAAAAGCACUUUGAAAAGAGAGUUAAACAGCAUGUGAAAUUGUUGAAAGGGAAGCGCUUGCGACCAGAGUCGGCCGCGGGGGCUCAGCGGGCACUCGUUGCCCGUGCACUCCCCCGUGGUCGGGCCAGCGUCGGUUUCGACGGCCGGUCAAAGGCCCCCGGAAUGUGUCGCCUCUCGGGGCGUCUUAUAGCCGGGGGUGCAAUGCGGCCAGUCGGGACCGAGGAACGCGCUCCGGCACGGACGCUGGCUUAAUGGUCGUAAGCGACCCGUCUUGAAACACGGACCAAGGAGUCUAACAUCCACGCGAGUGUUCGGGUGUCAAACCCGUCCGCGCA